AGAGUUUGAUCCUGGCUCAGAAUGAACGCUGGCGGCGUGCCUAACACAUGCAAGUCGAGCGAGAAAGUUUCCUUCGGGAGACGAGUAAAGCGGCGGACGGGUGAGUAACACGUGGAUGAUCUGUCUUUGAAUGGGGAAUAACUUGGGGAAACUCGAGCUAAUACCGCAUACGCUCGUAUGGCUGCGGCCAUACGAGGAAAGUUGGCCUCUUCAUGAAAGCUGACGUUCUUAGAGGAGUCCGCGCCUGAUUAGCUAGUUGGUGGGGUAAUGGCCCACCAAGGCGACGAUCAGUAGCCGGCCUGAGAGGGUGAUCGGCCACACUGGGACUGAGACACGGCCCAGACUCCUACGGGAGGCAGCAGUGGGGAAUAUUGGACAAUGGGGGCAACCCUGAUCCAGCAACGCCGCGUGGAGGAUGAAGACCUUCGGGUCGUAAACUCCUGUCAGUAGGGACGAAAAGCCGUUGGUUAAUAGCCUUCGGUCAUGACGGUACCUGCAGAGGAAGCCCCGGCUAACUCCGUGCCAGCAGCCGCGGUAAUACGGGGGGGGCAAGCGUUAUUCGGAAUUACUGGGCGUAAAGGGCGCGUAGGCGGCCAGGUAUGUCAAAGGUGAAAUCCCUCGGCUCAACCGAGGAACUGCCUUUGAAACUGCAUGGCUUGAGGCUGGGAGGGGAUAGUGGAAUUCUCGGUGUAGCGGUGA
rnacentral:rRNA from 1 species